GCCCGCCUAGCUCAAUCGGAUAGAGCGUCAGACUCUUAUGAAGGGGAGUAAACAAUAUCGGAUCUGAAGGCUGCGAGUUCGACCCUCGCGGUGGGCU